rnacentral:tRNA from 7 species
UGGCGUAUAGCUCAAUGGAAGAGCAUCCGGCUGUUAACCGGAAUGUUGCAGGUUCAAGCCCUGCUAUGCCAG